GGAAGUAAAGUCGUAACAAGGUUUCUGUAGGUGAACCUGCAGAAGGAUCAUUA
rnacentral:rRNA from 1 species